CCUACGGGGGGCUGCAGUGGGGAAUAUUGGACAAUGGGCGAAAGCCUGAUCCAGCCAUGCCGCGUGUGUGAAGAAGGCCUUCGGGUUGUAAAGCACUUUCAGUGGGGAAGAAAGCCUUGGGGCUAAUACCCUCGAGGAAGGACAUCACCCACAGAAGAAGCACCGGCUAACUCCGUGCCAGCAGCCGCGGUAAUACGGAGGGUGCGAGCGUUAAUCGGAAUUACUGGGCGUAAAGCGCGCGUAGGCGGUCUGAUAAGCCGGUUGUGAAAGCCCCGGGCUCAACCUGGGAACGGCAUCCGGAACUGUCAGGCUAGAGUGCAGGAGAGGAAGGUAGAAUUCCCGGUGUAGCGGUGAAAUGCGUAGAGAUCGGGAGGAAUACCAGUGGCGAAGGCGGCCUUCUGGACUAACACUGACGCUGAGGUGCGAAAGCGUGGGUAGCAAACAGGAUUAGAUACCCUAGUAGUC
rnacentral:rRNA from 1 species